UACAGAGGUCUCAAGCGUUGUUCGGAUUCAUUGGGCGUAAAGGGUGCGUAGGCGGCUCGGUAAGUCGGGUGUGAAAUCUCGGAGCUUAACUCCGAAACUGCAUUCGAUACUGCCGUGCUUGAGGACUGGAGAGGAGACUGGAAUUUACGGUGUAGCGGUGAAAUGCGUAGAUAUCGUAAGGAAGACCAGUGGCGAAGGCGGGUCUCUGGACAGUUACUGACGCUGAGGCACGAAGGCCAGGGGAGCAAACGGG
rnacentral:rRNA from 1 species